AGCGUGCCUUCGUCCGGAAUUACUUGUCAUAGAUAUGGAUGUAUCUACAUGUAUUUUAGUUUUAGAUAUAUCCCUUCCGAUUCAUUUUUGUGACAAGUAAUUCGGGAAGGAGAAAGUAGUAG
rnacentral:pre_miRNA from 1 species